rnacentral:rRNA from 1 species
GAUGAACGCUGGCGGCGUGCCUAACACAUGCAAGUCGAACGCCCCGCAAGGGGAGCGGCAGACGGGUGAGUAACGCGUGGGAAUCUACCCAGUUCUACGGAACAACACAGGGAAACUUGUGCUAAUACCGUAUACGCCCUACGGGGGAAAGAUUAUCGGAAUUGGAUGAGCCCGCGUUGGAUUAGCUAGUUGGUGGGGUAAUGGCCUACCAAGGCGACGAUCCAUAGCUGGUCUGAGAGGAUGAUCAGCCACACUGGGACUGAGACACGGCCCAGACUCCUACGGGAGGCAGCAGUGGGGAAUAUUGGACAAUGGGCGAAAGCCUGAUCCAGCCAUGCCGCGUGAGUGAUGAAGGCCUUAGGGUUGUAAAGCUCUUUCAGUGGGGACGAUAAUGACGGUACCCACAGAAGAAGCCCCGGCUAACUUCGUGCCAGCCGCCGCCGUAAGAC